rnacentral:rRNA from 1 species
UACGUAGGUGGCAAGCGUUACUCGGAAUCACUAGGCGUAAAGCGCAGGUAGGAGGUUUGGUAAGUCUGUUGUGAAAGCUCCCGGCUUAACUGGGAGAGGUCAACGGAAACUACCAGGCUAGAGUGCGGUAGAGGAAGGUGGAAUUCCCGGUGUAGCGGUGAAAUGCGUAGAUAUCGGGAGGAAUACCUAUGGCGAAAGCAGCCUUCUGGACCGUCACUGACUCUGAUCUGCGAAAGCUAGGGGAGCAAACAGG